rnacentral:rRNA from 1 species
UGCAUGCAGCGGAGAAGCAUGACCGAAAGGGCAUGUGGAGCGCAUGGAAGAGAGAAUGCCGGCGUGAGUAGCGGCACGUGGGUGAGAAUCCCACGCACCGAUGGCCCAAGGUCUCCAGAGGAAGGCUCGUCCUCUCUGGGAUAGUCGGGACCUAAGGCGAGGCCGAAAGGCGUAGCCGAUGGACGACGGGUGGAUAUUCCCGUACCCGAUGUGUGGCGAUGGAGUGACGGAGAAGGCUCAGGCAACCAGCUGCUGGAAUAGCUGGGGCAAGCGAGAUACCUGCGCACCAGGGAAAUCCGGUGCGCAUAAGGGGAAGGCGCGAAGCAUACGGAAAGCUUCGGCAAGUACGGAAAAGCUGAGAGCAGGCUUCCAGGAAAAGCUUCUAGCACAACACACAUCGGCCCGUACCGAAAAUGGACACACAUGGGCAAGGAGAGAAUCCUGAGGUGAGCGAGAGAACUAUAGCUAAGGAACUCUGCAAAAUGACCCCGUAACCUAGGGAGAAGGGGUGCUCCAGAAAUGGAGCCGCAGUAAAACGGCCCAAGCGACUGUUUACCAAAAACACAGCUCUCUGCGAAGGCGCAAGCCGAAGUAUAGGGGGUGACGCCUGCCCGGUGCUGGAAGGUCAAGGGGAGCUGUCAGCGCAAGCGAAGCAGCGAGCCGAAGCCCCAGUAAACGGCGGCCGUAACAAUAACGGUCCUAAGGUAGCGAAAUUCCUUGUCGGGCAAGUUCCGACCCGCACGAAAGGCGUAACGAUUUGGGCGCUGUCUCAGCUGUAGACUCGGUGAAGUCUUAGUACCUGUGAAGAUGCAGGUUGCCCGCGACUAGACGGAAAGACCCCAUGGAGCUUCACUGCAGGUUGACAUUGGGCUUGGAUGCAUGAUGUACAGGAUAGGUGGGAGGCUGUGAGCCGUGCGCGCCAGCGUACGGGGAGCCGCUGUUGGGAUACCACCCUUCAUGCAUCUAGGUCCUAACCGGAGGCAACGGGCCACGGGACAGUGUCAGUCGGGCAGUUUGACUGGGGCGGUCGCCUCCCAAAGAGUAACGGAGGCGCCCAAAGAUACCCUCAGCAUGGAUGGAAACCAUGCAUAGAGUGCAAAGGCAUAAGGGUGUCUGACUGCGAGACAUACAGGUCGAGCAGGGACGAAAGUCGGGCUUAGUGAUCCGGCGGAUCCGAAUGGAAGGGCCGUCGCUCAACGGAUAAAAGCUACCCUGGGGAUAACAGGCUGAUCUCCCCCAAGAGUUCACAUCGACGGGGAGGUUUGGCACCUCGAUGUCGGCUCAUCGCAUCCUGGAGCUGAAGCAGGUUCCAAGGGUUGGGCUGUUCGCCCAUUAAAGCGGUACGCGAGCUGGGUUCAGAACGUCGUGAGACAGUUCGGUCCCUAUCUGU